UACAGAGGGGGCAAGCGUUGUUCGGAAUUACUGGGCGUAAAGGGCGCGUAGGCGGCCCACUAGUCGAAACGUGAAAUCCCCGGGCUCAACCCGGGAACUGGCGUCCGAGACUGGAGGGCUCGAAUCCGGGAGAGGGAUGUGGAAUUCCAGGGUGUAGCGGGUGAAAUGCGUAGAUAUCUGGAGGAACAUCGGUGGCGAAGGCGGCAUCCUGGGACCGG
rnacentral:rRNA from 1 species